AGUGAACGCUGGCGGUAGGCCUAACACAUGCAAGUCGAACGGCAGCACAGUAAGAGCUUGCUCUUACGGGUGGCGAGUGGCGGACGGGUGAGGAAUACAUCGGAAUCUACUUUUUCGUGGGGGAUAACGUAGGGAAACUUACGCUAAUACCGCAUACGACCUACGGGUGAAAGCAGGGGAUCUUCGGACCUUGCGCGAUUGAAUGAGCCGAUGUCGGAUUAGCCAGUUGGCGGGGUAAAGGCCCACCAAGGCGACGAUCCGUAGCUGGUCUGAGAGGAUGAUCGGCCACACUGGAACUGAGACACGGUCCAGACUCCUACGGGAGGCAGCAGUAGGGAAUUUUGAGCAAUGGGCGAAAGCCUGACCGAGCAACACCGCGGGGGUGAUGAAGGCCUUCGGGUUGUAAAACCCUGUUGUUGGGGAAGAAAAGAAGUGGAUUAAACCCCGCCUGUCUUGACGGUACCAAAACAGAAAGCACCGGCUAACUACGUG
rnacentral:rRNA from 1 species